rnacentral:rRNA from 1 species
UGAACGCUAGCUACAGGCUUAACACAUGCAAGUCGAGGGGCAGCAUGGUCUUAGCUUGCUAAGACUGAUGGCGACCGGCGCACGGGUGAGUAACACGUAUCCAACCUGCCGUCUACUCUUGGACAGCCUUCUGAAAGGAAGAUUAAUACAAGAUGGCAUCAUGAGUCCGCAUGUUCACAUGAUUAAAGGUAUUCCGGUAGACGAUGGGGAUGCGUUCCAUUAGAUAGUAGGCGGGGUAACGGCCCACCUAGUCUUCGAUGGAUAGGGGUUCUGAGAGGAAGAUCCCCCACAUUGGAACUGAGACACGGUCCAAACUCCUACGGGAGGCAGCAGUGAGGAAUAUUGGUCAAUGGGCGAGAGCCUGAACCAGCCAAGUAGCGUGAAGGAUGACUGCCCUAUGGGUUGUAAACUUCUUUUAUAAAGGAAUAAAGUCGGGUAUGCAUACCCGUUUGCAUGUACUUUAUGAAUAAGGAUCGGCUAACUCCGUGCCAGCAGCCGCGGUAAUACGGAGGAUCCGAGUGUUAUCCGGAUUUAUUGGGUUUAAAGGGAGCGUAGAUGGAUGUUUAAGUCAGUUGUGAAAGUUUGCGGCUCAACCGUAAAAUUGCAGUUGAUACUGGAUAUCUUGAGUGCAGUUGAGGCAGGCGGAAUUCGUGGUGUAGCGGUGAAAUGCUUAGAUAUCACGAAGAACUCCGAUUGCGAAGGCAGCCUGCUAAGCUGCAACUGACAUUGAGGCUCGAAAGUGUGGGUAUCAAACAGGAUUAGAUACCCUGGUAGUCCACACGGUAAACGAUGAAUACUCGCUGUUUGCGAUAUACGGCAAGCGGCCAAGCGAAAGCGUUAAGUAUUCCACCUGGGGAGUACGCCGGCAACGGUGAAACUCAAAGGAAUUGACGGGGGCCCGCACAAGCGGAGGAACAUGUGGUUUAAUUCGAUGAUACGCGAGGAACCUUACCCGGGCUUAAAUUGCAGAUGAAUUACGGUGAAAGCCGUAAGCCGCAAGGCAUCUGUGAAGGUGCUGCAUGGUUGUCGUCAGCUCGUGCCGUGAGGUGUCGGCUUAAGUGCCAUAACGAGCGCAACCCUUGUUGUCAGUUACUAACAGGUUCCGCUGAGGACUCUGACAAGACUGCCGUCGUAAGAUGUGAGGAAGGUGGGGAUGACGUCAAAUCGGCACGGCCCUUACGUCCGGGGCUACACACGUGUUACAAUGGGGGGUACAGAGGGCCGCUACCACGCGAGUGGAUGCCAAUCCCCAAAACCUCUCUCAGUUCGGACUGGAGUCUGCAACCCGACUCCACGAAGCUGGAUUCGCUAGUAAUCGCGCAUCAGCCACGGCGCGGUGAAUACGUUCCCGGGCCUUGUACACACCGCCCGUCAAGCCAUGGGAGCCGGGGGUACCUGAAGUGCGUAACCGCGAGGAGCGCCCUAGGGUAAAACUGGUGACUGGGGCUAAG